AUUGAACGCUGGCGGCAGGCUUAACACAUGCAAGUCGAGCGAGCGGCGGACGGGUGAGUAAUGUCUGGGAAACUGCCUGAUGGCGGGGGAUAACUACUGGAAACGGUCGCUAAUACCGCAUACCAUCAGAUGACCCCAUAUGGGAUUAGCUAGUAGGUGGGGUAACGGCUCACCUAGGCGACGAUCCCUAGCUGGUCUGAGAGGAUGAUCAGCCACACUGGAACUGAGACACGGGCCAGACUCCUACGGGAGGCAGCAGUGGGGAAUAUUGCACAAUGGGCGCAAGCCUGAUGCAGCCAUGCCGCGUGUGUGAAGAAGGCCUUCGGGUUGUAAAGCACUUUCAGUAGGGAGGCGUUACCGACAGAAGAAGCACCGGCUAACUCCGUGCCAGCAGCCGCGGUAAUUC
rnacentral:rRNA from 1 species